AAGUCGUAACAAGGUUUCCGUAGGUGAACCUGCGGAAGGAUCAUUAACGUGCCUUCGGGACGGCCCGGUUCCGGUAUACCGGGAUCGGGUCCGCACCGAAUCUGGCCCCACCCGUGUUUACCUGACUCUGUUGCCUUGGCGGGCCCGUUCGGCCUCACGGCCCGACCGCCGGGGGCUUUAUCGCCCCUGGUCAGCGCCCGCCGAUGGCCUUAACUGAACUCUUAACUGAAGUGAUUGAACGUCUGAGUUUUUAUUGAAAAAUAAGCAAAACUUUCAACAACGGAUCUCUUGGUUCCGGCAUCGAUGAAGAACGCAGCGAAAUGCGAUAAGUAAUGUGAAUUGCAGAAUUCCGUGAAUCAUCGAAUCUUUGAACGCACAUUGCGCCCUCUGGUAUUCCGGAGGGCAUGCCUGUCCGAGCGUCAUUUCAACCCCCUCAAGCCCGGCUUGUGUGUUGAGCGGCGGCCCCUUGUUUCAUCGAGGGGCCGGCUCCAAACGCAGUGGCAGCGCCGCUAUAUAAGGGUGACUGAGCACAUGGGAAAAGGAUAUUCCUCUAAUCUUUGUGUUUGUUAAAGUCCCCGGUGGCCGCUUGCCCCCCCCGUGGGUGGGAAAACUCGGUACCGUUAACCCGGGCCCGAAAUGACCCGCCUACUAUUUUUUUAGGUUGACCUCGGAUCAGGUAGGGAUACCCGCUGAACUUA
rnacentral:rRNA from 1 species